rnacentral:rRNA from 1 species
UACGGAGGGUGCGAGCGUUGUCCGGAAUCAUUGGGCGUAAAGGGCGCGUAGGUGGCCUGCUAAGCGUGCGGUGAAAGUCGGGGGCUCAACCCCCGAUCGGCCGUGCGAACUGUCGAGCUGGAGCACUGUAGAGGCAGGUGGAAUUCCGGGUGUAGCGGUGGAAUGCGUAGAGAUCCGGAAGAACACCGGUGGCGAAGGCGGCCUGCUGGGCAGUGGCUGACGCUGAGGCGCGACAGCGUGGGGAGCAAACAGG